CACACACACACACACACACACACACACACACACACACACACACACACACACACACACACACACACACUCACACUAGUGUAUGAAGAGUGUCCAAAAAUCUAAAGCAUUCGUGAAUGGGAACCUUUAUUGAUUGUUCAUUGUGUUAUUAUGAGGGGUGUGUACAAGGAAGCAACAUUUUUCAAAUAGAUCCAAUAUCGAAAGGAAUGAGGUUGCAAUGAGGGUAUAAAACUCACUCAGAUUCACUCUCCAGAACAUCCUGACAUAGACUUAAAGAUGGAAUUUGUGCUUCUCCUGCUGAUGGUGACGGCAUGUGCUGCAAUAACUCAAGAUCUCUCCGGUAAAAUGUUUACCUUCCCUCAGGAAAGCAACACAGCUUAUGUGAAACUGACACCAAAAAGAGUGGAUUUCGGAGCUAUAACUGUCUGUCUCAGCCUACUGCUGAUGGGAUUCUAAUCUAUGUUCAUAAUAAACCGGAAACAUUAGGGGGAGAGGACUACAAAGUGAACACGUGGCACUCAAUAUGUUCUACAUGGGACUCUGUGACCGGUGUGGCACAGCUGUGGCUAGACAACAAGCCCUUCAUUAGGAAAUAUGUUGGUGGAGCAAGAAUCAGAAAUCCUGUUAUUAUCAUUGGACAGGAGCAGGAUUCCCAUGGUGGAGGAUUUGACAAAACACAGUCUUUUGUUGGCAUGAUCUCUGAUGUCCACAUGUGGGACUACACCUUCUCCGCCUGUGAGAUCCAGGAGUACAUGCUUGACAGAAACCUAACUCCGGGUAAUGUGCUCAAUUGGAAGGCGCUGGACUACAGAACCUACGGGAGAGUGCUGACAGAACAAAAAACCACUUGCUCAUGUACAGAAUAAAUACAAACAAAUAUAUAAAUGUCAUACUCCUUACGAGGCUUUUUCUUUUGAGUAUGAAAUUCAAACACCCUGUAAACCUGAACAGUGGCAUUAAUCAGCUUGAUCAACACAAUUACCUCAUUUCUGACCACCAUCUUAAAUGUGUGUGUUUAAUUUUUCUUAUUAAAUCUGCAAAUUGUUAUUUGUAAUUAGAUGACAUUUGUGAUAUAUCCUUUUGUCUGCCAUGUUUGCUGCAACUUGUAUGAUGCUCUUCCUGACAGUUCAUUAAAAAUGGCACAUUCUGCA